ACGCUGGCGGCAGGCUUAACACAUGCAAGUCGAACGGUAACAGGAGAAAGCUUGCUUUCUUGCUGACGAGUGGCGGACGGGUGAGUAAUGCUUGGGAAUCUGGCUUAUGGAGGGGGAUAACGACGGGAAACUGUCACUAAUACCGCGUAGAGUCGAGAGACGAAAGUGCGGGACCGCAAGGCCGCAUGCCAUAGGAUGAGCCCAAGUGGGAUUAGGUAGUUGGUGGGGUAAUAGCCUACCAAGCCGACGAUCUCUAGCUGGUCUGAGAGGAUGACCAGCCACACCGGGACUGAGACACGGCCCGGAUUCCUACGGGAGGCAGCAGUGGGGAAUAUUGCGCAAUGGGGGCAACCCUGACGCAGCCAUGCCGCGUGAAUGAAGAAGGCCUUCGGGUUGUAAAGUUCUUUCGGUAUUGAGGAAGGUUGUUGUGUUAAUAGCACGACAAAUUGACGUUAAAUACAGAAGAAGCACCGGCUAACUCCGUGCCAGCAGCCGCGGUAAUACGGAGGGUGCGAGCGUUAAUCGGAAUAACUGGGCGUAAAGGGCACGCAGGCGGACUUUUAAGUGAGGUGUGAAAUCCCCGGGCUUAACCUGGGAAUUGCAUUUCAGACUGGGAGUCUAGAGUACUUUAGGGAGGGGUAGAAUUCCACGUGUAGCGGUGAAAUGCGUAGAGAUGUGGAGGAAUACCGAAGGCGAAGGCAGCCCCUUGGGAAUGUACUGACGCUCAUGUGCGAAAGCGUGGGGAGCAAACAGGAUUAGAUACCCUGGUAGUCCACGCUGUAAACGCUGUCGAUUUGGGGAUUGGGCUUUAAGCUUGGUGCCCGAAGCUAACGUGAUAAAUCGACCGCCUGGGGAGUACGGCCGCAAGGUUAAAACUCAAAUGAAUUGACGGGGGCCCGCACAAGCGGUGGAGCAUGUGG
rnacentral:rRNA from 1 species